GCCAGGCGUGGUGGUGCACACCUGUAGUCCCAGCUACUUGGGAGGCUGAGGUGGGAAGAUUGCUUGAGCCCAGGAGGUUGAGGCUACAGUGAGCUGUGAUCAUGCCACUGUACUCCAGCCUGGGUGACAGAGCGAGACCCUGUCUCUA
rnacentral:SRP_RNA from 1 species